rnacentral:lncRNA from 7 species
GUUCUUCCGGCCAGAAGGCCACAGCUAGUGCCCUGAUUCGGUAGGCAUGGUCCAAAUUAUUUUGGACCCUGAAUUAAUUUGGCAGUGCUACCGCAUACUAAUACUUUGGUGUCUCCCACAUAACUAUACAUUUUGCAAAUGUACCAAUGAUAUACCGGAUAAACGAACUGUCAAAAAAAUGCCUAACAUAUUCCUAGAAUUGAGAAUACCCACAUACCUGAAAGUUCGAUGCAUGUUGUUAC